UGGGGAAUAUUGGACAAUGGGGGGAACCCUGAUCCAGCCAUGCCGCGUGUGUGAAGAAGGCCUUAUGGUUGUAAAGCACUUUAAGCGAGGAGGAGGGUACUGGUAUUAAUACUACCAGGUACUGGACGUUACUCGCAGAAUAAGCACCGGCUAACUCUGUGCCAGCAGCCGCGGUAAUACAGAGGGUGCGAGCGUUAAUCGGAUUUACUGGGCGUAAAGCGUGCGUAGGCGGCUAAUUGAGUCGGAUGUGAAAUCCCCGAGCUUAACUUGGGAAUUGCAUUCGAUACUGGUUAGCUAGAGUGUGGGAGAGGAUGGUAGAAUUCAGGUGUAGCGGUGAAAUGCGUAGAGAUCUGGAGGAAUACCGAUGGCGAAGGCAGCCAUCUGGCCUAACACUGACGCGGAGGUACGAAAGCAUGGGGAGCAAACAGG
rnacentral:rRNA from 1 species